rnacentral:rRNA from 1 species
ACGAACGCUGGCGGCGUGCUUAACCCCUGCAAGUCGCACGGAAAGGCCCUGCUUUUGUGGGGUGCUCGAGUGGCGAACGGGUGAGUAACACGUGAGUAACCUGCCCUUGACUUUGGGAUAACUUCAGGAAACUGGGGCUAAUACCGGAUAGGAGCUCCUGCUGCAUGGUGGGGGUUGGAAAGUUUCGGCGGUUGGGGAUGGACUCGCGGCUUAUCAGCUUGUUGGUGGGGUAGUGGCUUACCAAGGCUUUGACGGGUAGCCGGCCUGAGAGGGUGACCGGCCACAUUGGGACUGAGAUACGGCCCAGACUCCUACGGGAGGCAGCAGUGGGGAAUAUUGCACAAUGGGCGGAAGCCUGAUACAGCAACGCCGCGUGCGGGAUGACGGCCUUCGGGUUGUAAACCGCUUUCGCCUGUGACGAAGCGUGAGUGACGGUAAUGGGUAAAGAAGCACCGGCUAACUACGUG